rnacentral:rRNA from 1 species
UAGGGAAUCUUCGGCAAUGGGGGGAACCCUGACCGAGCAACGCCGCGUGAGUGAAGAAGGUUUUCGGAUCGUAAAGCUCUGUUGUUAAGGAAGAACGAGUGUGAGAAUGGAAAGUUCAUACUGUGACGGUACUUAACCAGAAAGGGACGGCUAACUACGUGCCAGCAGCCGCGGUAAUACGUAGGUCCCGAGCGUUGUCCGGAUUUAUUGGGCGUAAAGCGAGCGCAGGCGGUUAGAUAAGUCUGAAGUUAAAGGCAGUGGCUCAACCAUUGUAGGCUUUGGAAACUGUUUAACUUGAGUGCAGAAGGGGAGAGUGGAAUUCCAUGUGUAGCGGUGAAAUGCGUAGAUAUAUGGAGGAACACCGGUGGCGAAAGCGGCUCUCUGGUCCGUAACUGACGCUGAGGCUCGAAAGCGUGGGGAGCGAACAGG